UUCAACGGUAACAUCUUCACUCAAUCAACCGACCUAUCUUGCCUAAAACACACACUAGAUAUAGCGGGCCACGGGGCUUCAACGGUAACAUCUUCGCAGUCGAAUUAGGAACACUCGUUGUCGCGACGAGCCAAAUUAGAAGACAGGAGAGAAGAGGCGAAGACGUUUAUGCUCUGGCUUGAAUGAAGCUAAGCAGUCGGUAAGGUUGGACAAUUCAACCUCAGAAUGUGUUAAGUUGAAAUCUGUAGUUCCAAGGCAGUCUGAAGCUGAUGGUGGCAGCUAGAGUCCUAACGAUCCUUCUUUCUCUCUUCUUCACUUCACGAAUUUCUUUAGUCAUUUGCCCCAAUUCUACCAAAUGAUUAGAGAAUUGUCAGAUCAUAAGAAUGUUCUUUGUGCAAAGAAUAAAGAUGCUGCUUUGGCAUUCAAGCAAAUGGGCAACCAAUGCUAUCUUUGUGUAGAUUACACCAAAGCGUUAUUGUUUCAAUGGUUCUAUCAAUCACAUUUUACUCUCAACAAGUUUCUUUAUGCAGUCUUGGUAUAGGAGGAGGGGUUAACAUAAUUAUUUCUCAAAUUAGAGUGAAUUCUCUGGCAGUUCUCCAGUUCUCUGACUUCAUUAUGUGUAUCACCUAAAUUGGUAUGAGUAUUCUGCUAGAUGUAAUUCAAUUCUUUGUAUUCAUGUAUUUUCUGAACAUUUGAUAUGGUCACCAUUUUAGGGUUAUUUUGCUUUUUAUCAUUAGUCUCUUGUUGGA